rnacentral:rRNA from 1 species
UACGGGGGGAGCAAGCGUUGUUCGGAUUUACUGGGCGUAAAGGGCGCGUAGGCGGGCCAUCAAGUCAGAGGUGAAAUCCCCCGGCUCAACCGGGGAACUGCCUUUGAUACUGGCGGUCUGGAGUAAGGUAGGGGCAUGCGGAACUGAUGGUGGAGCGGUGAAAUGGUGUUGAUAUCAUCAGGAACUCCGGUGGCGAAAGCGGCGUGCUGGACCUUUACUGACGCUGAGGCGCGAAAGCCAGGGGAGCAAACGGG